GAUGAACGCUGGCGGCGUGCCUAAUACAUGCAAGUCGAGCGAACGGACGAGAAGCUUGCUUCUCUGAUGUUAGCGGCGGACGGGUGAGUAACACGUGGAUAACCUACCUAUAAGACUGGGAUAACUUCGGGAAACCGGAGCUAAUACCGGAUAAUAUUUUGAACCGCAUGGUUCAAAAGUGAAAGACGGUCUUGCUGUCACUUAUAGAUGGAUCCGCGCUGCAUUAGCUAGUUGGUAAGGUAACGGCUUACCAAGGCAACGAUGGAUAGUCGACCUGAGAGGGUGAUCGGCCACACUGGAACUGAGACACGGUCCAGACUCCUACGGGAGGCAGCAGGAGGGAAUCGUCCGCAAUGGGCGAAAGCCUGACGGAGCAACGCCGCGUGAGGGAUGAAGGUCUUCGGAUCGUAAAACUCUGUUAUUAGGGAAGAACAUAUGUGUAAGUAACUGUGCACAUCUUGACGGUACCUAAUCAGAAAGCCACGGCUAACUACGUG
rnacentral:rRNA from 1 species